AUGUGUCCACAUUAUUAGUUCAACAUCUCCAUGUCCAUGACUUGUGAAACAAAGUCAUCAACUAAUACAUGUGCUAGUCUAAUAUUCAUGUGUGUCCUCACAUGAACUCCGACUAGGGACAACUUUAGAAUAACCAUACAAGUAAAGAGUUUCACAUACAAUUCACAUAAUUGCAAAUCAAUUCAAGUAGCCUUCAAUGGAUACUCAAUGAACACAAUAUACAAAUCAUGGAUACAAAUGGAAUAUCAUCAUCUCUAUGAUUGCCUCUAGGGCAUACCUCCAACAGUCUCCC
rnacentral:lncRNA from 1 species